rnacentral:rRNA from 1 species
AUACGUAGGUGACAAGCGUUAUCCGGAUUUACUGGGCGUAAAGGGCGUGUAGGCGGUCUUGCAAGUCAGAAGUGAAAUUCCUGAGCUCAACUCGGGCGCUGCUUCUGAAACUGCAGGACUUGAGUGCUGGAGGGGAUAGCGGAAUUCCUAGUGGAGCGGUAAAAUGCGCAGAUAUUAGGAAGAACACCGGUGGCGAAGGCGGCUAUCUGGACAGUAACUGACGCUGAGACGCGAAAGCGUGGGGAGCAAACAGGAUUAGAUCCCCUGGUAGUCCACGCCGUAAACGAUGAAUACUAGGUGUAGGGGGUAUCGACUCCCUCUGUGCCGCAGUUAACACAAGAAGUAUUCCGCCUGGGGAGUACGGCCGCAAGGUUGAAACUCAAAUGAAUUGACGGGG